rnacentral:rRNA from 1 species
GUUGUUCGGAAUUACUGGGCGUAAAGGGCUCGUAGGCGGCCAACUAAGUCAGACGUGAAAUCCCCAGGCUCAACCUGGGAACUGCGUCUGAUACUGGAUGGCUUGAAUCCGGGAGAGGGAUGCAGAAUUCCAGGUGUAGCGGUGAAAUGCGUAGAUAUCUGGAGGAACACCAAUGGCGAAGGCAGCUCGCUGGGACGGUACUGACGCUGAGACGCGAAAGCGUGGGGAGCAAACAGG